rnacentral:rRNA from 1 species
UACGGGAGCAGCAGUGGGGAAUAUUGCACAAUGGGCGCAAGCCUGAUGCAGCCAUGCCGCGUGUAUGAAGAAGGCCUUCGGGUUGUAAAGUACUUUCAGUCGUGAGGAAGGUGUUAAGGUUAAUAACCUUAGCAAUUGACGUUAGCGACAGAAGAAGCACCGGCUAACUCCGUGCCAGCAGCCGCGGUAAUACGGAGGGUGCGAGCGUUAAUCGGAAUUACUGGGCGUAAAGGGCACGCAGGCGGUUAAUUAAGUUGGAUGUGAAAUCCCCGGGCUUAACCUGGGAAUGGCAUUCAAGACUGGUUAGCUAGAGUCUUGUAGAGGGGGUAGAAUUCCAUGUGUAGCGGUGAAAUGCGUAGAGAUGUGGAGGAAUACCGGUGGCGAAGGCGGCCCCUGGACAAAGGCUGACGCUCAUGUGCGAAAGCGUGGGGAGCAAACG